rnacentral:rRNA from 1 species
UUGCUCUUCAACGAGGAAUUCUUAGUAAGCGCAAGUCAUCAGCUUGCGUUGAUUACGUCCCUGCUCUUUGUACACACCGCCCGUCGCUACUACCGAUUGAAUGGCUUAGUGAAUCCUUCGGAGUGGUCUAUUUGAGCCGGCAACGGCACAUUUGGACUGCAAAGUUGGGUAAACUUGGUCAUUUAGAGGAAGUAAAAGUCGUAACAAGGUUUCCGUAGGUGAACCUGCGGAAGGAUCAUUAGUGAUUAAUUAUUGAGUGUAAAAAACUCAUAAUCUUCUAUACAAACCACUGUUUUAAAAUGUUUACUAGAAUGUCCAAGCAGUUAAGCUGUUGAAAUAUUAAAAGUUUAAUAAAACUUUCAGCAACGGAUCUCUUGGUUCAGGCAUCGAUGAAGAACGCAGCGAAAUGCGAUAAGUAAUGUGAAUUGCAGAUACAGUGAAUCAUCGAAUCUUUGAACGCAAAUGGCACUCUAUGGUAUUCCGUAGAGUACGUCUGUUUGAGCGUCGCGAACAUCUCCAUAAUUAGUUUUUUUUAAAUUGAUUGUGGGUUUUGAGGUUGUCAUAUAAACAAUGACUCCCUUUAAAAUAAUUAGUGAUGACCUUAUGAAUGGGUUAAUACUGUGUGUUAUAAUGGAUUACAUCCAUCACCAGUCAGAGAGUAAUCUCGCCUUAGUAAUUUGUAGUGAUUGCUUCUAACUGCCAUUGGCAAACAAACUGAUCAAAUCGACCUCAAAUCAGAUGGGAUUACCCGCUGAACUUAAGCAUAUCAAUAAGCGGAGGA